AUUUUAAGGCAGAAGAUGAACCAGGUAUCACAUUAUUCCAUAUCCACAAGCCACAAGUUUUUAAAAUUUGAACUAAAUACCUGCCAAUUAUGGAUUAAUCACUUUAACCUUCACAGCAUUAUUUUUCUUUUGAAGAAAGAAAAACUUACAAAAGGGCUCCAGUGAUCCUAAGGUUGUUGAAUUCAAUGGAAACCUUUCAGUAGCACUUGAUACAGCAGAUCUCCAUUCUUCUCUUCAUUGUCAGGAUAUCAGCCAGUCUGUUUUUUCCUCUUGCUGUCUGUUAUGGCUCAUUAUCAUGCCCCUUGCUGGAUAGUCCUCCAGUAGAUUUCUAAAUGCUGGAAGUAUUGAAAAUGAAUGAAUAAAUAAAUAAAUAUUUUUUUGAAAAUUAAAAGAGAAUGUGGUAAGCAUUGAAAUAGAUACAAAAAUGAACCUGAAAUGGUUGCUGACUUCAAGCCUACUUUAAUAUAGAGCAAAAAGUGAUGUGGGUAUUAAUAACCGUAAAAUGAAGAGUCAAUAACCCACACAGCCUUCCCAUCUUCCUUCUACUCUCAGGUCUCUUCAAGUCUAUUCUGCACACAACAGCCAGCAAGUCAUUAAGGCACUAAAAAGAUAAUGUCUUACCGUAUUGGGACCCCUCCAGUGGCUUACCACCUCAGCGAGAGUAAAACUUAACUCUCUAAUAGAACCUCCAGGGUCCUCUGUAAUGUGACUUCUGGCUGCUUUUCCAAUCUCAUUUUGGACCAUUCUUUCCUCUUCAGCUGCACUGGGUCCUUGCUGUUCCUUAAACACUCCAGCUAUAGUCCUACCUCAGCCUCUACUGCAUUUCUCUCAGGUUUCCCCAGGGCAAUGCUUUCUCUCCUUUGAAGUCUCCACAUCAUCCUUGGAAGGAGAUUGUGUGGGCAAGAAAUAAUCACAUUGUCUUGUGCUCCAGAAGCUCGACCUUGUUCUGAAUGGAGUCAGUUUAAAGUAAACAUCAAGUGGAAAAGAAAGUUACAAAAGGUAAGAAAGGAUAUGGCUUAUGUGGAGGUUCAUUAGUCCUACCACUUUCAAAGAAUUGGUAGCAUGGGUACAGUGGCUA
rnacentral:lncRNA from 10 species